GAGGCAAAGCUAGAUCUCUCGUGACUCAGGCAGAUGGAGAAGAAGCAAAGAAAAGGAGAAACAGGGAUGGCCUUAGAGCCAGACAGGCCAAACUUCAAAUCCUGCCUCUGUCACUUGGCACUCACUCUGUAUGCAUUUCAUCAUAGGAAACUCCCUUGCAGUUUGAGUGAGCCUGCUUCAUAUAUCCUAGGAGGCAGGGAACCUCAGAACCGCAUCUGCCUGCAGCCACACAGUUGA
rnacentral:lncRNA from 1 species